rnacentral:rRNA from 1 species
AUUGAACGCUGGCGGCAUGCUUUACACAUGCAAGUCGAACGGCAGCGGGGGCUUCGGCCCGCCGGCGAGUGGCGAACGGGUGAGUAAUGCAUCGGAACGUGCCCAGUCGUGGGGGAUAACACAUCGAAAGAUGUGCUAAUACCGCAUACGUCCUGAGGGAGAAAGCGGGGGAUCUUCGGACCUCGCGCGAUUGGAGCGGCCGAUGUCGGAUUAGCUAGUUGGUGGGGUAAAAGCCCACCAAGGCGACGAUCCGUAGCGGGUCUGAGAGGAUGAUCCGCCACACUGGGACUGAGACACGGACCAGACUCCUACGGGAGGCAGCAGUGAGGAAUAUUGGUCAAUGGACGCAAGUCUGAACCAGCCACGUCGCGUGAAGGAAGACGGCCCUACGGGUUGUAAACUUCUUUUAUACGGGAAUAAAGUGCCCCACGCGUGGGGUUUUGCAUGUACCGUAUGAAUAAGGAUCGGCUAACUCCGUGCCAGCAGCCGCGGUAA